rnacentral:rRNA from 1 species
ACGCUCGACACCUACGGGAGGUAGCAGUGGGGAAUAUUGCACAAUGGGGGAAACCCUGAUGCAGCAACGCCGCGUGAGUGAAGAAGUAUUUCGGUAUGUAAAGCUCUAUCAGCAGGGAAGAUAAUGACGGUACCUGACUAAGAAGCUCCGGCUAAAUACGUGCAGCAGCCGCGGUAAUCUGAGCGGGCUGGCAAGGC